UACGUAGGGGGCAAGCGUUAUCCGGAUUUACUGGGUGUAAAGGGAGCGUAGACGGCGAUGCAAGCCAGAUGUGAAAGCCCGGGGCUCAACCCCGGGACUGCAUUUGGAACUGUAUAGCUAGAGUGUCGGAGAGGCGGGCGGAAUUCCUAGUGUAGCGGUGAAAUGCGUAGAUAUUAGGAGGAACACCAGUGGCGAAGGCGGCCUGCUGGACGAUGACUGACGUUGAGGCUCGAAAGCGUGGGGAGCAAACAGG
rnacentral:rRNA from 1 species